CACGAAACAGAGCAAUAACAGGUCUGUGAUGCCCUUAGAUGUCCGGGGCCUCACGCGUGCUACACUGAAGGAAGCAGCGUGGUUUUAUCCGUUUUAAGACAGUAAGCUUAGAAAAAAGUGACUUGAGUAAAUACAGAGGCCUAACUGAAGUCAGUCGGAUUACCGCCCAAUGCCCAUGUCCCUCACGAGCAAUGUCUGCAAACUGGCGGAAAGAAUG
rnacentral:ncRNA from 1 species